rnacentral:rRNA from 1 species
UACAGAGGUCUCGAGCGUUGUUCGGAUUUAUUGGGCGUAAAGAGCGUGUAGGCGGCUUUACAGGUCCGUUGUGAAAACUCGAGGCUCAACCUCGAGACGCCGGUGGAAACCGUAAAGCUAGAGUCCGGAAGAGGAGAGUGGAAUUCCUGGUGUAGCGGUGAAAUGCGCAGAUAUCAGGAAGAACACCCGUGGCGAAGGCGGCCUGCUGGGCAGUUGCUGACACUGAGGCGCGACAGCGUGGGGAGCAAACAGG